rnacentral:rRNA from 1 species
CAGCCGCCGCGGUAACACGAAGGGUGCAAGCGUUACUCGGAAUUACUGGGCGUAAAGCGUGCGCAGGCGGUUUGUUAAGACAGAUGUGAAAUCCCCGGGCUCAACCUGGGAACUGCCUUUGAUACUGGAGAUCUUGAGUUCGGAAGAGGUUGGUGGAACAGCUAGUGUAGAGGUGAAAUUCGUAGAUAUUAGCUAGAACACCAGUGGCGAAGGCGGCCAACUGGUCCGAUACUGACGCUGAGGUGCGAAAGCGUGGGGAGCAAACAGGAUUAGAUACCCCCGUAGUCCCUGUCUCUUAUAC